rnacentral:tRNA from 1 species
GGAAGGGUGGCAGAGUGGUCUAUCGCGGCGGUCUUGAAAACCGCUGAGCCCGCAAGGGUUCCGGGGGUUCGAAUCCCUCCCCUUCCGCCA